rnacentral:rRNA from 1 species
UGGGGAAUAUUGCACAAUGGGCGCAAGCCUGAUGCAGCGACGCCGCGUGAAGGAUGAAGGUCUUCGGAUUGUAAACUUCUAUCAGCAGGGAAGAAUAAAUGACGGUACCUGACUAAGAAGCCCCGGCUAACUACGUGCCAGCAGCCGCGGUAAUACGUAGGGGGCGAGCGUUAUCCGGAAUUACUGGGUGUAAAGGGUGCGUAGGCGGCUAUGCAAGUCAGAUGUGAAAACUCAGGGCUCAACUUUGAGGCUGCAUCUGAAACUGCGUAGCUAGAGUGUGGGAGAGGAAAGUGGAAUUCCGAGUGUAGCGGUGAAAUGCGUAGAGAUUCGGAGGAACACCAGUAGCGAAGGCGGCUUUCUGGACCAUAACUGACGCUGAGGCACGAAAGCGUGGGGAGCA